AGCAGGUGGCCGGCGCGGGUGGAACCCAGCGCGGGCGCAGAGCGUCUCUGGCGUGGGCAUUCGGUGCAGCGAGUCCGCGGGAAUCUUGGAUGCGCGGAGGUCCCCGGACCGCGGUGACGGACGGGGCUGCGAUCGUGGCCGUGCGUGUGCUAAGCUCAGGUCUGAGCACUGGCGGAUCCCAUGGGUGUGGCUCUGAGGAAAUUGACGCAGUGGACUGCUGCCGGACAUGGAACUGGAAUCCUCGAAAUCACCCCUCUAAAUGAAGUGAUAUUGAAAGAAAUUAUUGUUUGUGGAGAAUUUUAUCUAUAAACAUCCCCAAGAGGCAAAAUUUGUUUUUGUGGAACCACUUGAGUGGAACACAAGUUUGGCGCCCUCCGCAUUUGAAUCAGGUUAUGUUAGCAAAGGCUCAGCAAAAGAAAUCCAAGAGGACAAACACACAGGAAAACUUGAAAAACCAAGACCAUCUGUUUCACACGGAAGAGCACAAUUACUUCGGAAGAGUGCUGAAAAGAUUGAGGAAACUGUUAGCGAUAGCUCCUCAGAAAGUGAGGAAGAUGAAGAACCACCUGACCAUCGUCAGGAAGCAAGUGCAGAUUUGCCAUCAGAAUAUUGGCAAAUUCAGAAGCUGGUGAAAUAUUUAAAGAUGGAGUCUUGCUCUGUCGCCCACGCUAGAGUGCAAUGGCACGAUAUCAGCUCACUGCAACCUCCGCCUCCCGGGUUCAAGCGAUUCUCCUACCUCAGCCUCCCAAGUAGCUGGCAUCACAGGCGCACGCUACACGCCUGGCUAAUUUUUCGUAUAUAGUAGAAACGGGUUUCACCAUGUUAGUCAUGCUGGUCCCAAACUCCUGAGCUCAAGCAAUCUGUCCACCUUGGCCUCCAAAAUGCUAGGGUUACAGGAGUGAGCCACCACUUCUGGACACUACCAAACUUGUUAAGGCUUUAAUUGUCACCUUGGAUAUAAAAUGUCUGACACAUACUGAAUAUGGUAAUGACAUAAUAAGUGAUAAUUAUAAGCUCCCAAAGGGGUUCUGGCACAGAGUGAACAUUAAUAAAUUAGUAAAUAUUAGAAAAAAAUAAUAACAAGAAAAAUGCUUAGUACCUUAAUAAGUAGUAAAUAAUAAAAAAUGACAAUGAUAAUAACAAGGACAAUGCUUAGUACCUUAAAGAUGCUUGGCAUUUAUUUGUUAAGUGGACAAGUGGAUAAAUGAAUAAAAAACAUUUUUUUAGAAAAUUUUGUUGGAAAAAUGCAGAAAUUCAGUAGAGACAGCUCUACUGUAUUAUGAGCACCUUAAAGACAUAUGGAAUAUGUGUAUUCCAUAUUUGUCUCCUGCAACUUGCAAAAACCUAACUUAUAGAAGUUCUUUGAUAAAUAUAUAAUAAAGAUAUGCUCAUACCGUUCAUAUUGAACAAUGCAUUGUGUCACAUUUAGGUAUCACAGUGACACUUUUGCUAUUGUGAAAAAUUUUUGUAUUUUUAUUAUAAUUUGUUGAGCCUAGAGUUAAGCUAUUUGAAUACUUAUAAUGUUAAUAUUUUGGCCAGCAGGAACAGAGUAUCUUUUUGUAACAAAAUUACUAUUAACACACUAAUUAUCCAGCAGAUAGAACAACACAUCUUGUUCUAAUGAAGUAAAUAUAUCUUAUUUGGUUUCAACUUAGAGGGAAUGAAGUUGAAAAUAGUGAGAUCUUUUGGUACAAGACUGUGUAACAUAACCUGCGCUUCUCAACAAAGAUUUGCUUUUCUCACUUCUGCACUCAGUAGGUAUCUUUGAAAAAUGAUAUCCUAUUGGUACUGAUGCACCCUGGCUAAGUUUUGUAAUUCUUGUUGACAUUUGUUUAUGGUGUCAGAAAAGUAUUAUUGAGUUCCAAAUUCUAAAGAUACUUACUUUUCUGUGACACAAGUCACUAUGUCACACAGUUGAUCCUUGAAUAAGGGUUUUACUGUAGGAACCCACUAAUAGACAGAUUUAUCUUUUCCUUUGCUGCUGCAAGAUAGCAAGACAAAUCUCUCCUCUCCCUCUCCCUUAUCAGCCUACUCAACAUGAAGGCAAUGAGAAUGAAGAACUUUAUGAAUAAUAAUUCACUUCCAUUUAAUAAAUAGUGAAUAUAUUUUUUCCUCCUUAAAACAGUUUCUUUUCUCCAGCUCACUUUAUUGUAAGAAUACAGUAUAUAGUACAUAUGACAUAGAAACUAUGUGUUAAUUCACUGUUUAUGCUUUCAGUAAGGCUCCAGGUCAACAGUAGACUAUUAGUAGAGUUUUGGAGGAGUCAAAAGAAACAGAUUUUCCUAUAAAGCAGAUUUUCAGCUGCUUGGGGGAUCGGCACCCUAACUCUCAUGUUACUCAAGACUCAACUGUAAUUAAUUCUCAUUUACUAAAUGUAAACCAUUUAUUGUAAAAAUUAAAUAGAGCCCAGAAGUUCAAGACCAGCCUAGGCAACAUAAGGAGACCCUGUCUCUACAAUUAAAUAAAUAAAUACAUACAUACAUACAUACAUACAUACAUACAUACAUAAUUAUUUCUUCAUAGGUUAUAAUACUGAAAUGUUGCAGUUUUUGUUAUUAAUUCCUACUUUUCAUUAUUAGAUGUUCCAUUCUUUGUGGCUUGUAAUUCAGGGCAUCUAAGCUACUUUAUAAUUUGUAAUAAAAUUUAUUUAUAAAUAUUAAUUUAUUAAAUUGGAUAACCUGAUUAUCCCCUAUUACCAAGCUCAUCAAUCACACCAAGUGUUAUACAUUUUAUCACAAACCUAAGUUGUUAUGACAAUUGAGGAAACAUACAAUAUACAAACUUAAAAAUUGUUUUACUUAUUUAUACAAAAGUAUUAUAUAAAAUUUUAGGGAACAUAAUUAAGAAAAUUUUUUUCGGAUAAUUUCUGAGAUUAUAAACUACGUACAACUAAAUUCUUAACUAAUUCUGAAUAAUAAACUAAAAAAAUUAAAUCAAAGCUAUAUAUAUAUGUACACACACACAUAUGUAUAUAUGUAAACACAUCCUAUUUCCACAUUGCUUUUUUAAUUGCUGUUGUAUGAUCAACAUUUCCAUAACCUUAUGGUAGCACCACCAAGAGUAGUUUACUAUCAGAAGUCUUACCUGGAUUGCUAUUUUGAGGAUUUUUAGAUAUCUUUUGUUUAUAUUCCAAAAGGUGUUGAUGAAUGCUAUGUAUAAAAAUGUAAUAAAUAAAACUAUUAUUUUAACACUGAUAUAAAAACAUUUACCAAAUUUAUUAAGUUCUUAGAGUAUUUCAGACAAUAUCAGAGCUAACAUCAGAAUAUUACUUAUUCUAUUACUUUAAGUUUGUAAGCUCUAUGAAUUUAUUAAUCUGCUAAUUAAAGAAGAAAGAAAGUAGAUGAAAUACUCAUGAAUUCAGGGCAGGGUAACUCCGUACAUUCACUAGAGUUAGCUUGGCAUAAUGGAAAAUGUCCUUAACUCAGAAUAAGUCCUAGCGCAGUAACCAACAGGUAUUUUUUCUGGAACAAGUUGCUUCUCUUAGGCUCAACGUCUUCUAAAAAUGAGAAUUUUAGAGCCUUAUUUCACUAGGUUAUUAUAAAGAUUUAACAAGAUAACAUUUUUUAAUGCUCAAAUAGUGAAGCAAUGAAAUAAUUUGUUCUUGAAUCUUAUUGCUGAAGCUAUUUUUAAAUUCUCAAUAAAAUCCAAUGUGUUAGCCUGGUGCAGUGGCUCAUGCCUGUGACAUAAGCACUUUGGGAUGCUGAGACAGGAGGACUGCUUGAGCCCAGAAGUUCAAGACCAGCCUGGGCAACAUAGGGAUACCCUGUCUCUGCAAAACAUAAAUAAAUUACAAAAAACAAAAGAACAAAAAAAAGUGUUUCUUCAUAUGUUAUAAUGUUCAAAUGUUGCACUUUUCUGUUAUUAACUCCUACUUUUGGUUAUUAGAUGUUCUAUUCUUUGUGGCUUGUAAUUCAAGGCAUCUAAGCUAUUUUAUAAUUUGUAAUGAAAUUUACUUAUAAAUAUAUUAAUU